rnacentral:rRNA from 1 species
UACGGAGGGUGCAAGCGUUAAUCGGAAUUACUGGGCGUAAAGCGUGCGCAGGCGGUUUGUUAAGUCCGUUGUGAAAGCCCCGAGCUCAACUUGGGAAUUGCAGUUGAUACUGGCAGGCUGGAGUACGGUAGAGGAAGGUGGAAUUCCCGGUGUAGCAGUGAAAUGCGUAGAUAUCGGGAGGAACACCAGUGGCGAAGGCGGCUGUCUGGACCAGUACUGACGCUCAUGUACGAAAGCGUGGGGAGCAAACAGG